UCCGGGCACCUGGCUAUGGAACGAAGAAUGGAAAUUGCAAUAACAAAAUCCUAAUUCUAAUAGAAUACUAAAAAUUCUCUAAUUAGACUAUAAUAAUGCUAAGCAAGCUUAAUCAAAUUCAAAAAAACCUUAAAGAAAUUUCAAACAAAUAAUAAGAAUUCUUAAAGAAAUAUUAAAAAGAACACAAAUAUCACUCAAAUACAUCUCAAUUUAAUCUUAAUUUAAUUCUAAUUAAAACCCUAUUAAACUUCAUUCAAACUUUAGGCCUAAACUAAUUGAAUCUUAAAUCCUAAUCAAAUCCUAAAUCCUAAAUCAAACCCUAAACAAACCUUAAAUCAAAUCCCAAUCAAAUCCUAAAUCAAAUCCUAAAUCCUAAAUCAAAUCCUAACCAAACCCUAAACUCUAAAUUAAAUCCUAACCAAAUCAUAAACCAAAUCCUAAUCCAAGUCCUAAAUCCUAAACCGAAUCCUAAUCAAAUCUUAAACCCUAAAUCAAAUCCUAAUAAAAUCUUAAAUCAUAAUUAAACUCUAAUCAAAUCCUAAACUCUAAAUAAAAUCCUAACCAAACCUUAAUCCAUACCCUAAAUCCUAAACCAAAUCCUAACCAAAUCCUAAACCCUAAUAAUUCCUAUAACAGAUUUAAACCUCAAUAACUAAUGAAUAAACUUUCGAUCUCAACUCAAAUUUUGCACACUUCUAAAAAAAUAAGUUAAAAACUAGCAAAAAAAAUUGAUAAGGAUCAGAGUUACCAAAUUGACGAUAACAUCAAAAAUGUACUCGGAUAUUGGCCAGCCUCCUUCUCCAAUCUUGAUGCCAAUCUUCCAGAGCCAAUAUCUCUCCUUUGCACCAUUCGAUUGAUCUCAAAAUUCUCAUACACAUAGAAAAAUAAGUCUAAUAUCUUCUCACGUAAGUUUUACUCCAAUCCAACAAAUAAGUUGUAAGAAAUCUCAAAAACUCCCACUAGACCUAAAAUUCUACUUUCUAAGACCUUGACCCACUUAAACCUCAAUAUUCCUCAAUUCAACCGUUA
rnacentral:lncRNA from 1 species